ACAGCAGCCGCCGCGGUAAUACGAAGGGGGCUAGCGUUGUUCGGAAUUACUGGGCGUAAAGGGCGCGUAGGCGGCCAUUCAAGUUAGAUGUGAAAGCCCUGGGCUCAACCUAGGAAUGGCAAUAGAUACUGGCGAGCUAGAGUGUGUCAGAGGAUGGUGGAAUUCCCGGCGUAGCGGUGAAAUGCGUAGAGAUCGGGAGGAACAUCAGUGGCGAAGGCGGCCAUCUGGGACAACACUGACGCUGAGGCACGAAAGCGUGGGGAGCAAACAGGAUUAGAUACCUCGGUAGUCCCUGUCUCUUAUAU
rnacentral:rRNA from 1 species